AAGACAGCUUCCGGAAUAUGGGGGCCUUUGUCUCCGGCUGCAGCUGGAGUUCUACGUCUAGUCUUCAGAGGCCCAGUCUCCGUGACUUUGUGACCUGCAGGUAUUGGGAGAUCCACAGCUAAGAUGCCAGGACCCCCUGGAAGCCUAGAAAUGGUGAGAGUGCCGGGUCCGACAUCCUGAGAAAAGGGAAGGAGUUGAUUGGAACUGGUGGCAAGUGGCUGUGGUGGGACUCGGGUCUCCCGUCAGUCAGCUCCACAGUCUGCGCCCCGAGUUCUCCUUGGCCAACUCAGCCUCAGUCCUCUUCAGCCAUAGCAUGGUGGCUGCGCUGACAGCAGGACCCUGGGCUGAAGGUGUGGGUUGCCCCUCCACACCUGUGGGUGUUUCUCGUUAGGUGGAAGGAGAGACUUGGAAAAGAGAAAGACACAGAGACAAAGUAUAGAGAAAGAAAUAAGGGGACCCAGGGAACCAGCGUUCAGCAUAUGGAGGAUUCCACCAGCCUCUGAGUUCCCUUAGUAGUUAUUGAUCAUUCAUGGGUGUUUCUCCAAGAGGGGGAUGUGUCAGGGUCACAAGACAAUAGUGGGGAGAGGGUCAGCAGACAAACACAUGAACAAAGGUCUUUGCAUCAUAGACAAGGUAAAGAAUCAAGUGCUGUGCUUUUAGAUGUGCAUACACAUAAACAUCUCAAUGCUUUACAAAGCAGUAUUGCUGCCCACAUGUCCCACCUCCAGCCCUAAGGUGGUUUUUUCCUAUCUCAGUCGAUGGAACGUACAAUCAGGUUUUAUACCGAGACAUUCCAUUGCCCAGGGACAGGGAGGAGACAGAUGCCUUCCUCUUGUCUCAACUGCAAGAGGCAUGCCUUCCUCUUAUACUAAUCCUCCUCAGCACAGACCCUUCAUGGGUGUCGGGCUGGGGGGCGGUCAGGUCUUUCCCUUCCCACGAGGCCAUAUUUCAGACUAUCACAUGGGGAGAAACCUUGGACAAUACCUGGCUUUCCUAGGCAGAGGUCCCUGCGGCCUUCCGCAGUUUUUGUGUCCCUGAGUACUUGAGAUUAGGGAGUGGUGAUGACUCUUAAGGAGCGUGCUGCCUUCAAGCAUCUGUUUAACAAAGCACAUCUUGCACAACCCUUAAUCCAUUUAACCCUGAGUUUGACACAGCACAUGUUCCAGAGAGCACAGGGUUGGGGGUAAGAUUAUAGAUUAACAGCAUCUCAAGGCAGAAGAAUUUGUCUUAGUACAAAACAAAAUGGAGUCUCCUAUGUCUGUCUACUUUCUACACAGACACAGUAACAAUCUGAUCUCUCUUGCUUUUCCCCACACUGGGCGUCCUGUCUGCACAGUGACCCAGUGAUGGUCCCCUGGCCUGGAGGCCUCUCUGGGCAGCUCUGCAGCCGCAGCGCCUUGUCUCUGGCCAAUUGUGCAGGGACCAUGGGAGGGUAGUCAGGGGAGAAUCCCGACUCGGGUGAGGGUUCAUGAAUGGGAAGAGUUUUGGUCGGUGGGGUUCCUAGUCCCUCUUUUCAUCUAUUAAAAAUUUAUGGAGUCACCGCAAAAAGAUUAAAGAAUUUAAUCAAAGAGUGGCUCAAAAAUUGUAGAGUACCCAGCUAUGGGUUUUAGUUUGUGGUUCAUGGGAGGAACUUGAAGGAAAGACUUUUAUAAGGUCCAUGAUUAAAAAAAAAAAAACAAAUUCAAUAAUCGGUUAGGUACAGUUACCUACUUUUUUUUGUUUUUUUUUUUGAGACAGUUUUGCUCUGUCACCCAGGCUGAAGUGCAGUGGCGCGAUCUCAGCUCACUGCAACCUCUCGGUGUCAAGCGAUUCUCCUGCCUCAACCUCCCGAGCAGCUGGGACUACAGGGAGUCACGUACUUUCUUAAUUUCCACUUUGAGUGUGUAAAUUUUCUGGUUAUGUAAUCAGAGCUUAAUUGGCCAUUUAUAGUUAGUUGGUUAAGCUUAAAUUUUGUUUUCCCCAAUGCAAUUUACAAAAAUUUACAAAAAAAAAAAAUAUAUGUUUGAGGAUACACACUUCACAAGAGACUGAUUUUUUUUUUCCCCUGAAUUUUUUAAAUGUGUCCCAAGUGCGGUCUCAAGUCUAGCCCUCAUCCCCCAUUCCUCCAGCCUAACUCAGGCUUGAAGUAAAAUACUAAAUUUCCAGUUCCUUCUGACAAUCCCAAAUGCCAGCCUCGUUUCCCUAGUUCACAUUGUCAUCUAUUUGUCCUUUAGUGUAUAUUUUCAAUACUGUAUUUUUUUUUACAAACCACUGGAUGGCACAUUUUAAAAGAUUCAUUUUCUGUUUGUAAAUAUUUCCCAUGAGAAGAAAGCAAAGAAUAACCCCUGACACUGUGUUGUGUAAAAUCUCUGUGCCUCUUUUCCUUUUACCUUCCCUAGGCAGAGAUCUUACCAGAAUGCUUUGGGGUAAAGGUUUUUUUUUGGCGGGGGGAAGCUUUAUUGGGUGAUGUGUCCUCAACCACCCUUUAGUUUUUUCUUGGUCAUCGGUUUCAGUACUGUCUGUGAAUAAACCAUUAUAUCAGCCAUGGCUAUGUCUGCUAGAGUGUCUAGGGAAUCUCAGGUCCUGGGUCAUUUUCUUUCAUAGGACAGCCUGAGGUAUGGAGUGUAGCCUCUCAAGGAAGCAGAUGGAUGCACUGGGGCUGAGAGAAAUCUCCUGGUGUGCUCUUCCUUUAAAAAAGUAACCCCUUGAGACAUUAACAUUGUUUUCACCCAACCCAGCUUUCAUAUCUUGGUGACACAUUGCUGGUCAGCCAAUCAGAGGCUGGUAUUAAGGGGAAAACAGAAAUAAUUUCUGUCCCCUGAAUUCUCUAAGAUUUGUGAAAGAAAAAAUAGUAUCCCCCCUAAAAAAAAAACAAAAGAAAACCUGACCCCAGAGAGAUGCUGCAAAAAUUUCCGAAAGUAAAACCUGGGCCACUCACUGGAACAUAGUGCAGUGUCUCCUGAGAGGUUAGUCAUUGAGCAGUUAAGUGAGCAGGCUGGGGUGGGAGAAUCUCUCACGUGAUUGGAUGACCUGACUUGACACAUAAGUCAGACACAUCUGUUUUUUAAUCAUCACUGCUACACCCUGGGUUCGUCACCUUGAAAAGAUUUGUUCACUUAUAUUGAUUUCAAUUUCUUAAACUGUAAAUUGCAUUUUAUUAGUAGAGCUUGAAAGGUUCAAAAACAUUUACAAAGGGCAUAAAAGUGGUGGGUUUCAAAAAAUAUUAAUAUCUAAUCAUAUAUUUCGUAUGUUAAAAAUUCUUACUUACCUUUUUCUUUCCCAGAGAGAGUUUAGGAAUUUUCUCAGGUGUGUUUUCUGUAGGUGAUUUCAAACAGAAUUCCAAGGCUCAGCUUUUAGAAUGCUACCAAGGAAAAUAAUAGGGAAAAUCUCCUUCGAUUUUGGCUGUAGAAAAUGAAUACAUUUCCACGAGGAAAUAUUGUAGAUAAUUGAUGGAGUUUUGCUCCUGUUGCCCAGGCUGGAAAUGCUAUCGUGUGAUCUUGGCUCACUGCAACCUCCCCAUCCCAGGUUCAAGCAAUUCUCCUGCCUCAGCCUCCCGACUAGCUGGGAUUACAGGCAUGCGCCACCACGCCUGGCUAAUUUUGUAUUUUUAGUAGAGAUGGGGAUUCUCCAUGUUGGCCAGGCUCAUCUCAAACUCCCAACCUGAGGUAAUCCACCCGCCUUGGCCUCCCAAAGUGCUGGGAUUACAGGUGUGAGCCACUGUGUCCGGCACCUUUUUUUUGAGAACAAGAAGAAAAUGUGCAGAGUCUGUGUCUGGCUAUGUGAUAGGUAAGAAAAGACAGCACCAUCUAAGUCAUAAUGGGAAGGGUGUUUCUUUCCAUAAGCUGUUCCUGGAGCACACGAUGGAUGGAUAAUUUUAUUAAUCACAGCUAUUUUCUAGGAUUAUGUAUAAGCUUCAUUUUUUCCCAGCUCUUUUUUUGGUCCUAUAUGUUUUUUCCAUUUGACUUUUCCUGGGUUGUGGCUUUUACAAUAAACUGGUAAACAUGCUGA